AGUAAAAUAAAAAAAAAAGAAAAAGAAAAGAAAAGAAAAGAAAAGAAAGGAAAAGAAAAAAAGAAGAUAAUACAUAAAUUUUUAAUUUAAAAAUAAGUGGCUCAUUUGUAGCCACAAACCAAAUGAAAAAAAAAAAAAGAAAAGAAAAGAAAAGAGGAAAGAAGAAGAGACUAGAAGUGAAGAGAGAAACCCAUUUUUGUUUUCUCCAUUUUCUUCUCCUUCCUCUGCCGUGAAACCUCCUUUCUCCAUUUGUUUUUCUACACCGAAAUUGCUUCAAAAUUUCACCUCCAAUUAAUUCCCCAUCUUCUCUCAACACCUUUCCAAAGAAGCAUUUGAAGAAAAGAAGGGAAAUCAAAGAGAAAUUUCAAGGGUGAGGGAGAGUAAAUAAUAACUAAGGGUUUGGAAAUUUGAAAGAAGAAGUGGAAGGGAAAGGAAAAGAAAAGGAAAAUUAGGGAAUUUUAAGCUUGUGGAAGAUCUUGGGAAGGUUUGUGCUCAACUCUAUUUCAAUAAAUUCAAGAAAUGGUUAUUUAUGUUCUAUUUGAAUUUUACUACCCUAAUAGCAAGACCAAGUGAAUAAGAGAUUGAACGGAUAGAAAAUUCUAAAAUUUAUAUGUAAUUUAACUAAAAUUUAAGUUGUGGAUAUAAUAAAAUGACUCUAUUUUCUUUGAUAGAACAAUAAUUUGGUUAGAUAUAGUGACAAACAAACAAA